UACGUAGGGUCCGAGCGUUGUCCGGAAUUAUUGGGCGUAAAGAGCUCGUAGGCGGUUUGUCGCGUCUGCUGUGAAAUCCCGAGGCUCAACCUCGGGCCUGCAGUGGGUACGGGCAGACUAGAGUGUGGUAGGGGAGACUGGAAUUCCUGGUGUAGCGGUGAAAUGCGCAGAUAUCGGGAGGAACACCGGUGGCGAAGGCGGCUCUCUGGGCCUGUCCUGACGCUCAGGCGCGAAAGCUAGGGGAGCAAACAGG
rnacentral:rRNA from 1 species